rnacentral:misc_RNA from 1 species
AAACACAAGAAUGAACAGAACCUGGAGACUAACCUUCAUUUAGAAGAGGUAAAUGAAAAGAAAACUGCUGAGGAAGAAGAGCUUGCUGAAGAAAAAAAGAAAGCCCUGAAUGUUGUACAAAGUGUUUUGCAAAUCAACUUAAGCAAUUCUACAAACAGAGGAUCAGUAGCUGCUAAGAAAUUUAAGGACAUCAUACAUUAUGAUCCAACGAAGCAAGACCAUGCCACUUACGAAAGAAAAAGAGAUGAUAAGCCAAAAGAAAGUAAAGCAAAACGAAAAAAGAAAAGGGAGGAAGCUGAGAAACUACCUGAGGUGUCUAAAGAAAUGUAUUAUAAUAUUGCUAUGGAUCUGAAAGAAAUAUUCCAAACUACAAAAUAUACCAGUGAAAAGGAAGAGGGCACACCCUGGAAUGAGGACUGUGGUAAAGAGAAACCUGAGGAAAUCCAGGACCCUGCAGCUCUGACCAGUGACGCUGAGCAGCCCAGCGGGUUCACGUUCUCUUUUUUU